rnacentral:lncRNA from 1 species
AAAUAAUGCUAAAAAUAAUGCUAUAUAAAAUCAACUGCUGGUUUUUACUGUAUGCUGCACAUUUUUACAUUGUAUUCCAUUUCCAGCGAGACACUUCAAGCCAUCGACUCACUGAUGAAUGAAGACGAUGAGCGAUCAGCAAAGGUCAUCAGGAAUCUGCUGGCAUCACCGCACAACAUCGCUCAAAUCAGUCAGAAGAGGACAGUUGAAGAAACUUGCAUGAAAGGCUCGUUGAAGUUGCAAUGGCGGCGGUUGCUAAGAAGGGAGCAGCUGCGGACCAGAAGACUGCAGCCAAGACAGCACUGGUCCACACCUGCUCUGUCGGAUGCAGACCCAAAGAAAUUCAAGCAGAACUUUGAGCGCAAGCAUUCCAAGUCUCCAGUGGUCCCAGUGCUGGUUGAUGUACAGGCCUAAGUGAGCACACGCACUCAAAUGGACCUACAGCUCAGGCAAGAUUUUUUUUUCAACAAGUUAGUUCUGAAUUGCUUUAUAUAAUACAGCAGUGCAUUCUGACACCAUGAACUGAAAUAACUUUCACCUUAUUCACAUAGUUGGCAGAAAUGAUAAGGGAUUCAAUAGACCUCCACAGGCUGAAUUAGAAGAGGAUCUGGUAAAAUAAGGGAAUGUUGCUAAUAUCAUUUUAGGUAGCUAGCUAGCAAUAUAGCUAAUCUGCUAAAAGAGAGCCUAGUAUUCAUGGCACAUUAUAAAUAUCUGACUGCUACUAGGAUAGUAUUCUGUACAAGACAAGACCAAAUGCAUAAAUAAAAUAAGUGUUAAUAAAAAUAUGGAAC